rnacentral:rRNA from 1 species
AUUGAACGCUGGCGGCAUGCCUUACACAUGCAAGUCGAACGGCAGCGGACCUUCGGGUGCCGGCGAGUGGCGAACGGGUGAGUAAUGCAUCGGAACGUGCCAUUGAGUGGGGGAUAACGUAGCGAAAGUUGCGCUAAUACCGCAUAUUCUGUGAGCAGGAAAGCAGGGGACCGCAAGGCCUUGCGCUCUUUGAGCGGCCGAUGUCAGAUUAGCUAGUUGGUGAGGUAACGGCUUACCAAGGCGACGAUCUAUAGCGGGUCUGAGAGGAUGAUCCGCCACACUGGAACUGAGACACGGUCCAGACUCCUACGGGAGGCAGCAGUGGGGAAUUUUGGGACAAUGGGGGCAACCCUGAUCCAGCCAUGCCGCGUGAGUG